AGAGUUUGAUCCUGGCUCAGGAUGAACGCUAGCGACAGGCUUAACACAUGCAAGUCGAGGGGCAGCGGAGGCGAGUGCUUGCACUUGCCAGACGGCGACCGGCGCACGGGUGAGUAACACGUAUGCGACCUGCCCGUAGCAGGGGGAUAAGCGGAAGAAAUUCCGUCUAAUACCGCGUAAUAUCUUUCGGGGGCAUCCCUGAGGGAUUAAAGGAAGCGAUUCCGGCUACGGAUGGGCAUGCGGCGCAUUAGCUAGUCGGCGGGGUAACGGCCCACCGAGGCGACGAUGCGUAGGGGUUCUGAGAGGAAGGUCCCCCACACUGGUACUGAGACACGGACCAGACUCCUACGGGAGGCAGCAGUGAGGAAUAUUGGUCAAUGGGCGAGAGCCUGAACCAGCCAAGUCGCGUGAGGGAAGACGGUCCUAUGGAUUGUAAACCUCUUUUGUCGGGGAGCAAAAAGGCCUCGUGAGGCCACAAGCGAGAGUACCCGAAGAAAAAGCAUCGGCUAACUCCGUGCCAGCAGCCGCGGUAAUACGGAGGAUGCGAGCGUUAUCCGGAUUUAUCGGGUUUAAAGGGUGCGCAGGCGGAAUGUCAAGUCAGCGGUAAAAUUUCGGGGCUCAACCCCGUCGUGCCGUUGAAACUGGCGUUCUUGAGUGAGCGAGAAGUAUGCGGAAUGCGUGGUGUAGCGGUGAAAUGCAUAGAUAUCACGCAGAACUCCGAUUGCGAAGGCAGUAUACCGGCGCUCAACUGACGCUCAUGCACGAAAGCGUGGGUAUCGAACAGGAUUAGAUACCCUGGUAGUCCACGCAGUAAACGAUGAAUACUAACUGUCCGGGCCGAUUGAGGUCUGGGUGGUACAGCGAAAGCGUUAAGUAUUCCACCUGGGGAGUACGCCGGCAACGGUGAAACUCAAAGGAAUUGACGGGGGCCCGCACAAGCGGAGGAACAUGUGGUUUAAUUCGAUGAUACGCGAGGAACCUUACCCGGGCUCAAACGACGGAUGGAUGUUUUUGAAAGAAGGCAGCCCUUCGGGGCAUCCGUCGAGGUGCUGCAUGGUUGUCGUCAGCUCGUGCCGUGAGGUGUCGGCUUAAGUGCCAUAACGAGCGCAACCCCCAUCGCCAGUUACCAGCAAGUAAAGUUGGGGACUCUGGCGAGACUGCCGGCGCAAGCUGUGAGGAAGGCGGGGAUGACGUCAAAUCAGCACGGCCCUUACGUCCGGGGCGACACACGUGUUACAAUGGCAGGUACAGAGAGAAGCGAUGCGGCGACGCAGAGCGGAACUUCAAAGCCUGUCUCAGUUCGGAUUGGAGUCUGCAACCCGACUCCAUGAAGCUGGAUUCGCUAGUAAUCGCGCAUCAGCCACGGCGCGGUGAAUACGUUCCCGGGCCUUGCACUCACCGCCCGUCA
rnacentral:rRNA from 1 species